rnacentral:rRNA from 1 species
CAACUUUCAACAACGGAUCUCUUGGCUCUCGCAUCAAUGAAGAACGCAGCGAAAUGCGAUACGUAAUGUGAAUUGCAGAAUUCAGUGAAUCAUCGAAUCUUUGAACGCACCUUGCGCCCCUUGGCAUUCCGAGGGGCACACCCGUUUGAGUGUC